rfam:Brachypodium distachyon strain Bd21 chromosome 4, whole genome shotgun sequence.
AAAAUACUCCCUCCGUCUCAUAUUAAGUGACUCAACAUUGUCCAAAUAUGAAUGUAUCUAUAGCCAAAGACGUCUAGAUACAUGUAAUAUAAUGUCAUUUAAUAUGAGACGAAGGGAGUAGCAC